rnacentral:lncRNA from 1 species
AUUAUUUGAUUUAAAUCACAAAUAUUGGUAAUGCUUAUUGCUUUAAGAUGUUCAUUUUUCUAUGUAUGUGUCUAUCUUCCUCCUUUAGAAAUGUAGCUAUGAAGGCCUUGAACACUACGGGUCAGAAUAACAUUAACACACGUUCACUUUAUCAGGUUUUAUCAGUGGUCCCGGUCUGCAAUGGUAUCACAGUCUAUACAACAGUAAUGAGAGCAGCUGCCCCAGAGGAGUACAGAACGGUGGUCAGAGAGACCUGUGAUGACUCCAUUUAGGAAUACAGUUCAAGCUCCCAUCCAGAACAACCAUCACAUUUUGUUCUAAAUGUGAUAUUGCAGGUUUACUCUGUGGAUCAGAGACAAUUUUAAUGAAAUAAUUAGCUGUUUUAUACUUAUACAAAUACAGACUGUGCAUUUUACUGACUGGCAGGACUGCAGUCUGACAGGAGAACAUUGUGGAUUUUUAUAGUUUUUAUAAAAAAGGGAAUGCUGCCGUAAGAGAUUAACUUUGGAAAUAGAUUGGUUUUGGGGACACGAGGUUAAAGAAGUGCCUUAUAUUUGAAAAUGGAAGUUUUUUGUGUGUGUGAUAUAGCUUAUAACAGUACAACUAACUUGUUUUGAACAACCACAAGAUCUAUAUUCUUAUUAAGGAUUCACAAUAAAUUAUUUUAGCAUCGCUAUCA